rnacentral:rRNA from 1 species
UACAGAGGGUGCGAGCGUUGUCCGGAAUCACUGGGCGUAAAGGGCGCGUAGGCGGCCCGAUAAGUAGGGGGUGAAAUCUUGCGGCUUAACCGCAAGGCUGCCUCCUAGACUGUCGGGCUCGAGCACGGCAGAGGCUGGUGGAAUUCCCGGUGUAGCGGUGGAAUGCGUAGAGAUCGGGAAGAACAUCGGUGGCGAAGGCGGCCAGCUGGGCCGUUGCUGACGCUGAGGCGCGACAGCGUGGGGAGCAAAC